UACGAAGGGGGCUAGCGUUGCUCGGAAUUACUGGGCGUAAAGCGCACGUAGGCGGAUUGUUAAGUCGGGGGUGAAAUCCUGGAGCUCAACUCCAGAACUGCCUUCGAUACUGGCGAUCUCGAGUUCGGGAGAGGUGAGUGGAACUGCGAGUGUAGAGGUGAAAUUCGUAGAUAUUCGCAAGAACACCAGUGGCGAAGGCGGACUCACUGGCCCGAUACUGACGCUGAGGUGCGAAAGC
rnacentral:rRNA from 1 species